ACUCUGAAGUGGAGGGGCCAGCCGGAGCUGAAGCGGACGCUGAUGUGGGAUGGCCAGCCGGAGGGGACCAGAUGGAUUGGGACCAGUUCAGCAGGUGCGAGGAAAGAUUUUCCUGCAGGGAGGAUAAGCGUCCAGACAGGCGUGUUGUUUACUGCCUUCUAUGCAAGAAGCCAUUUGAGAUGCUGUCCAGCCACCUCAAAAACAAAUGCAUGCAGAACAGCACCCAGGAGGAGAGGGAGCAGGAGCUGAGGAGGGCAAAGCAAUCCCAGAAGAGGUGGAGCGCGGUUGACCGGACCUGGGACUACCAGGAGCUGCUCUCUGUCAUUAAAGACAGAGAGGCCUGCGACGCCCUGGCCAACAAGCUCACCAAGAAGGGUUUUUUGUCCUCCACACACCGGCUGAGCUCGCCGAGGACACACAAGAGAGCUGGUUUCCCAAAGUGUGUCUGACAAUUACAUUUGUUUUAAGUGAUUUUUUGCAGUGCUUGUCUGACUUUCCUGCCUGUCAGACGUGAGGGUGGAGCGAGCUCUGCAAGGGCUGAGCAAGUCCUCUUACUAGAGGCGGCAAAGCCCUGGAUGCAGGAGACCUGCGGGAGGCUGAACCAGGGUGAGCAAGUGGAAUGACAGGAAGCCGGUCAAGGGCGGUGUGUUCAUUCAGCUCGAGGAGCAGUCGGGCUGCAUCUUGAGGGAAGAGGAGGAAGAGUGACUAAAGUGCUACUUCACCUGUGUCCGGCCACUGUGCCUGAAGAAGCAGUCGGGAGACACAGAUGACGACGGCCGUUUUUUCCUUGGAAACACAGGAGCUCCUGUUGCGAACCCCAGCAGUGACCUAGAACGCCUGUGGAAGCAGAGUGUAUACAUUUGCAAAGGCCAGCCAAACUUUCAGUUUCAUGGAAACUGCACAUCAUGUCAACCCUCACCUGCGUGCACAAAUCUCU